GCUUCUUUUUCCACCGGAGCUUGCUCCACCGGAAAAAGAAGAGUGGCGAACGGGUGAGUAACACGUGGGUAACCUGCCCAUCAGAAGGGGAUAACACUUGGAAACAGGUGCUAAUACCGUAUAACAAUCAAAACCGCAUGGUUUUGAUUUGAAAGGCGCUUUCGGGUGUCGCUGAUGGAUGGACCCGCGGUGCAUUAGCUAGUUGGUGAGGUAACGGCUCACCAAGGCCACGAUGCAUAGCCGACCUGAGAGGGUGAUCGGCCACAUUGGGACUGAGACACGGCCCAAACUCCUACGGGAGGCAGCAGUAGGGAAUCUUCGGCAAUGGACGAAAGUCUGACCGAGCAACGCCGCGUGAGUGAAGAAGGUUUUCGGAUCGUAAAACUCUGUUGUUAGAGAAGAACAAGGAUGAGAGUAACUGUUCAUCCCUUGACGGUAUCUAACCAGAAAGCCA
rnacentral:rRNA from 1 species